UGAGCAAUCUGCCCUUCUCUUUGGAAUAAGCGUUGGAAACGACGUCUAAUGCCGAAUACGACCUCCUUUCGCAUGAUCGGAGGUGGAAAGCUCCGGCGGAGAAGGAUGAGCUCGCGGCCUAUCAGCUAGUUGGUGUGGGUAACGGCCCACCAAGGCGACGACGGGUAGCCGGCCUGAGAGGGUGACCGGCCACACUGGGACUGAGACACGGCCCAGACUCCGUACGGGAGCAGCAGGG
rnacentral:rRNA from 1 species